rnacentral:rRNA from 1 species
GUGCAGCAGGCGAGAAUUUUUCUCAAUGGGCGAAAGCCUGAAGGAGCGACGCCGCGUGGGGGAUGAAGGGCUUCGGUCUGUAAACCCCUGUCAUUUGCGAACAAACCUCGUCCGAUAACACCGGGCGAGCUGAUUGUAGCGAAAGAGGAAGGGACGGCUAACUCUGUGCCAGCAGCCGCGGUAAUACAGAGGUCCCAAGCGUUGUUCGGAUUCACUGGGCGUAAAGGGUGCGUAGGUGGCGGGGUAAGUUUGACGUGAAAUCUCCAAGCUCAACUUGGAAAACGGCAUUGAAUACUAUCUUGCUGGAGGGUCGGAGGGGAGACUGGAAUUUCUCGGGUGUAGCAGUGAAAUGCGUAGAUAUCGAGAGGAACACCGGUGGCGAAGGCGAGUCUCUGGACGACUCCUGACACUGAGGCACGAAAGCUAGGGGAGCAAACAGGAUUAGAUACCCCGGUAGU